GACGAACGCUGGCGGCGUGCCUAAUACAUGCAAGUCGAGCGGACGAAUCGAAAGCUUGCUUUUGAUUCGUUAGCGGCGGACGGGUGAGUAACACGUGGGCAACCUGCCCUGUAGACGGGGAUAACACCGAGAAAUCGGUGCUAAUACCGGAUAACACGAAAUGUCGCAUGACGUUUCGUUGAAAGACGGCGCAAGCUGUCGCUACAGGAUGGGCCCGCGGCGCAUUAGCUAGUUGGUGAGGUAACGGCUCACCAAGGCGACGAUGCGUAGCCGACCUGAGAGGGUGAUCGGCCACACUGGGACUGAGACACGGCCCAGACUCCUACGGGAGGCAGCAGUAGGGAAUCUUCCGCAAUGGACGAAAGUCUGACGGAGCAACGCCGCGUGAGCGAAGAAGGCCUUCGGGUCGUAAAGCUCUGUUGUCAGGGAAGAACAAGUAACGCAGUAACUGGCGUUACCGUGACGGUACCUAACGAGAAAGCCACGGCUAACUACGUG
rnacentral:rRNA from 1 species